rnacentral:rRNA from 1 species
GACGAACGCUGGCGGCGUGCUUAACACAUGCAAGUCGAACGGAAAGGCCCUGCUUUUGUGGGGUGCUCGAGUGGCGAACGGGUGAGUAACACGUGAGUAACCCGCCCUUGACUUUGGGAUAACUUCAGGAAACUGGGGCUAAUACCGGAUAGGAGCUCCUGCUGCAUGGUGGGGGUUGGAAAGUUUCGGCGGUUGGGGAUGGACUCGCGGCUUAUCAGCUUGUUGGUGGGGUAGUGGCUUACCAAGGCUUUGACGGGUAGCCGGCCUGGGAGGGUGACCGGCCACAUUGGGACUGAGAUAGGGCCCAGACUGCUACGGGAGGCAGCAGUGGAGAAUAUUGCACGAUGGGCGGAAGCCUGAAGCAGCAACGCCGGGUGCGAGAUGACGGCCAUCGGGUUGUAAACCGCUUUCGCCUGUGACGAAGCGUGAGUAACGGUAAUGGGUAAAGAAGCACCGGCUAACUACGUG